UAUGACAAUGUAGGUAAGAGAAGUUGGCAAAAAAGAUCCGUAACUUUGGGAUAAGGAUUGGCUCUAAGGGCUGGGUUGGUCGGGCUGGGGUGCGAAGCGGAGCUGGGCUCAAGCUGCGGCUGGGGGAGCAGUCGCUCCAACGUCCUCCUCUCGCCACCAUUGGAAGUUCGUUGUGCGGCUCAUCUCGCGGUCCCUCGUCCGUGGUCUCGCAAGGGGCUGCGUGCGGGGGUUCAUCGGGGUGGUGUCCGUCAGCGGGCCGAAUGUGGACCGGUGGGGGGUUAGGUCUGACAGUUGGCGGCGGAAACUCUGGAUGUGCGCCGGGCCCUUCUCGCGGAUCUCCCCAGCACGGCGCACGCCAGCCCCACACAUUGUAGGUGGGGAGGUCUCCUCUACGCUCACUAGACUUAAGGCGGAAACCAAACCCAUUAGCCCCACAGUGAUAGGGCGUUGCAUGGAUCUGGCUCAUGGCCUACGAAGUGGGGAGAGGUAUCUCCAGCUUGUCUGGGGAGGGAGGCCUACAUCUGAUGUGGGUAGUACCAUCCACGCCCAUUGAUUUGCUGCGGAACCAUAAAACGGACGGAAGAAGCCUAGGGUCCCACUGGGCACAGAUCACUGAAUGUCAACUUUAUGAAAUUCAAAGGAGUGUACCCACCUGUCGCGGUCACACUCAAAUCCCCUGUGGGGUGACUGUGACCUCCUCAUGUCAAAGUGAGGAAUAUCGAUGAAGCGCUGGUAAAGGUGGUUCCCAUGGCUCUGUCCCGGAGGGCUGUUUGGGCAAGCAAAUGAUUGAAAGGGGAUGAUUAUUUUCUGUUGCUUCUUCCUACACCAGGUCGAUAGUGCCGGUAAAUACUGUGAGGGGUAUCUGGUUCUCAAGCCUAUAAGUAUUGUGCUGGCACUUGAUGUCGAUUGGGUGUAAAAACCCAGUUAAAGUCUGCUGAAGGUUAGUAGUGGCAACUGAUGUCCAGUUUGUAAGACAGAAAAGCCUCUGAUGAUACCACCGGGCAUGACUCGAAUGGAUGUUAAUUUGAUGAUAUCUGACUGUAGCAUGCUAUCCUUCAUGGUCGCACUCAAACCACCUUCGGGGUUGCUGUGACCCCCUCAUGUCAGAGUGAGGAAAUUCGAUGAAGCGGGGGUAAACGGCGGGACAUAAUUAAGAGUUUCUUGAGGUAGCCAAAUGCCUCGUCAUCUAAUUAGUGAUGCACAUGAAUGGUGAACGAGAUUCGCACUGUCCCUACCUACUAUCUAGCAAAAACACAGCCAAGGGAACGGGCUUGA
rnacentral:ncRNA from 1 species